CAAUCAACCGUACGUGAGCAAGCUCAUGGCCAAUUGAUCGUCGACAGAGACCAGAUCCGUAGCCAAAAGCAUUCGCUGCAAUCCUCGGUCUUAGCUACGUCAUCUAAAGCAAGCUAUAACACUCCCGAGAGAGCUACCUUCUUGCAAUUAUUUUAUCACGACCAAAACCGAUGCUAACCUGCCUUGCGAGAAAGUGCACUCACAAUAACUUGUAAGCUGAUUUCCCACCGGCACGACUGACUUCAAUCGUUUCCCUUUCAAAAA
rnacentral:rRNA from 1 species